GUGCAAUGGAAUGCAAGCUGUAUGGGGCAGGUGGGUGACAUCAGUGUUGAGGUAACAGCUGCUCUGCCUUACAGGAGAUUGGAGGGGGACUCCGCUGACGUCCUCUGAAUCGCCCUCAAGGAGAAACACGCAUAUCGACAAAAACAAGUAGGGCGCCUUGGAUCAACGCUGCUUGCUUUCGUGGAAAUGUGUUUUGACGUUUUGCUGCCUGCAUUCAGCAUUCAGACAGGCGCGUGCGUUAUAAAAUCCUCGAUGCAUUCUCUUCCCAUCAUCCAUGUUUCUAGACCUACAGCCAUAACAACAACCUCAUCAUCCUCACCACAGUGAAGGUGAUGAAGCUGGUGGUGAGAUGGUCAGAGCCGAGAGACUAUUUGAGAAGAUAUGCAUGCACUUGAUGUGUGAAGGGCAAGGAGGAGACGGAGAGUGCGGGUGGGUAAUGUGGCGUUGUUCAUGCGACUUCGCCCAGGCUGCCGCUCUCGAGCAAACGUAUCGGGACCAUCGGCGGAUGGGGUGACUUACCCGAGGGCCGCCCGCUACAUCCUGAAGCCAUCCCCGGGGUGCCUCCGUGAGGCUAGAGGGACGGAGGAAAGAUGCAGGAGGCGACGGCAGAUGCUGAGGAGCCCAUUCUCAACGGAGCUGGGAGGGAAGAGGCCAGACCAAGAUCGUUUUGUAAUUUAACAAUACAGCAGCGUCCGGUGAAGCAGUCCUUGGCUGCCUCUCUGUGUCGAGAGUCUCACUGGAAGUGUCUUCUCCUCACUCUGCUCAUGUUCGGCUGUUUUGGCACACUGGCCUGGUGCAAGCUGUGCAAAGUUCCAGUGCUAGCUCCGACAGAGCCCGAAGCUGCGGUUGUGGAGCCUGGAGACCCCUCCACAACCUCAGCAAGCUCCAAUGUCUACAUACCCCUAGACGUGGAUCUGGAUAGUCCCUGUUCCAGCGGCUACAUUUAUAUUCCUCUAGCUUUCCUGGCAAUGCUGUACGUGGUCUACCUGGUGGAAUGCUGGCACUGCUACUCCAAGACGGCCAUGUUGGCUCAAGCAGAGGUUGCGGAGGUUUAUGAGCGUGUGCAAAGGCUGCAGCAAGCAACGCCGUGCAUCUGGUGGAAAGCUAUUAGUUACCACUACGUUCGACGAACAAGACAGGUAACACGCUACCGCAACGGGGACGCCUACACCACUACGCAAGUGUAUCAUGAGCGUGUAAACACACAUGCCGCGAGCUCAGAGUUUGACUAUGCGAGGUAUGGCGUCAAAGACGUUUCGAAGGAGCUUAGAGGCCUAAUGGAUUACCCAGCGGUACGGCUGCGCUUCACCAAAUGCUUUAGUUUUGCCAGUGCCCGAGCGGAGGCUGCCUACCUCACCCAGCGUGCACGUUUUUUCGGUGAAAACGAAGGGCUUGAUGAUUACAUGGAGGCACGAGAGGGAAUGCAUUUGAAGAACGUGGACUUCCGUGAGCACAUCUUUGCUUUCCCGGACCCGGCCAGACAGCCCUGGUACGCCAGGCGUAAAGUUUUCUGGCUGGCCUCGGCUCUGCUGUUGUCCUGGCCGCUUCGGGUCGUUGCGGAGUAUCGCACUGCAUAUGUGCACUACCAUGUAGAGAAACUGUUUGGCGAUGCUGAUGAUAACAGUAGGGGUGAUGUAACUGAGAAUGGUGGGGGCAACGAGAAUGGAAACGGACCUGGGACCGGAUCGAGCUAUCGUGCCAUUUCACGUGUUAAUACGGUGGACAUGACGGAGCUGGAGUGGCACAUUCGCUGCAACCAGCAAAUGGUGCCUAGCUACUCUGAGGCCAUGUUGAUGGAUCCCGGUUCGGGGGGUAACCAAGGUACCAACACUCCUCCAGCCGGGCAGGGGACUAACUCAACAGUGGGUGGCCCGACUCUUCCAGUGGCCUUCGCUUCGGCGUACUUGCUCCAGAACUGUCCUCGUUGUCGGCGCACCACAAGCAGUGCUUCCUUGCCAUCCCGACUGAGAGGCCCAACUGCAGCCCUGCUGAGUGGAACCAUGGCUGGAAUGAGAGCAAGUGGAUCAGGAGGUGGUCCUGGAGGCCCGGGACGGCUGGUUCUGAGCAGGAGUGGCUUCUCAUUGGGGCGUCUCCAGGCUCCUCGGCCGUCGUCCCUCUUCCACUCCCGAAGUGUCGGUGGAGGACUUGCGACAAGAGGAGAAGAGGCAAGUGGGGGAGGUGGUUUCUUAGGUUUGGGAGCUAGACAAGACGAAGAGAGUAGAAGAGUGCUGGGAGGAGAGGGGGAUGAGGAUGAGGAGGUGCCAAAUGUGGUAGAAAGAGAAGGUGGUGAGAGAGAUGGGGAGGAAAGAGAGCAACAGGAGGAUGCAGAAGAAGAGGAAGUAAGGGAAGGAGACAGACCUCCUGCAUAUCAGGAUGCCUUUUUUUUCCCUGUGUUGAUUGUGCAUGGAGAGGAAAGUUGCCAUUCAGGUGAGGACAUUUCCUGAAGAGCCCCCAUCAAAAAACGCAUUGUGUUAGCAGGAAAAAAAAGACGAUUAGAAAAGUCAUGGCCAAAUAGAAUGUGAAUUGAGCUCCACUCCCCUUGGUCACUGUUGCUAACUCAGACAAACUUUACAGAAUAUACCAUAGGAAUGAACUAGCGAUAUACAUAGUGAGUUUUUACAGUACAAUGCAUGCAUAUAAUUAAUGAGUAAAAAAAGGUGAAAACCGAUCAGAAUGCUGACCACGGAAAACUGAAAAGACAAAUCAUUUUUAAAAGAUGAAUCAAUAUGCAUUUGGUUAAAGAUCAGAAAAAUAAAAAUAAAGCUUGUAUCAACUCUAUGUACUUUGUGCCACUAUUUUAAGUGACCUGGCAGCAACGUUUUACCAUAAUAUCUGUAAAAUUUCAUAUAAAAAUAUCCACUCUCUCAGAUCCACCGGAGACUUUCAUUAAAAGUACAAAAGCUUGUCUGAGAAAACAACGAAUGGCAACAGUAGCUAAGUGGGAUCAGUCAGUAAGGUUUUUAAGGCAGCACUUAGAGAAUGGUCAGUUGGUUCAGUUUAAGACUGAUGCAUAAAUUGACCAAACAAUGAUUGAUGUUAAUAUAAACUUAUCUAUGCAAUAAAGAAACAGCAAGAGAGUGUUCGUAAAAAUUUACGGGGAUGCACAACAAGAGAAGAACCUUCGAUAAACUGCAUCUCCUCUGGUCAUGGAGCAAAAGACAUGCUAUCAAAGACAAGACUAUUGGAGAAGUCUUCCAAAGAUCAUGAAGAGAACGGAACAGUUCAGUUCAUCAAGAGGAAUGUUAUUAAUCUAUACACAUAGCCAACGUACAGCUGUGUCCCACAAGUCAAAAAAACAUGUUUUGUUUUAUUUAAAGAAAAAAGAAAAGAGGAACCUCAUUAACUUGCACAAAAUGUUGGGAUUCAGCUUCUUGAGACAUUACAUUGUAACUAUUUGUUAAUUGUUCUUUUUUUAAUUUUCUUUUUAUUUCUCUCACUGCAUCUACUGUUCUUAUGAAAUGGAUCUUUGAUAGAACUAAUGGAUUCCAUUAUUAUUGCAAGGAAUAUACUCAUAUUAAGCUAUUUUCUUGCAGCUUCAUUGAGAGUAUUUUCUUUCUGCAGACUUGCAAGUCCCAGUAACACAUUUUUGGUUAGCUUAUCAGAAAACUAGUAAAAGCUUCUGGAGAUGUUUCCUCAACUGAAACUACAACACGAAAUCUUGCUUUUGUGAGGUGCUGUUAUCACUUUUUGUUCAUUGUAUGUAUUUUGUAUUUAUUGUUAUUCAAUAAUGGUUUAUUUGUACGUUAUAUCACCAAUUUGCCUCAUGAAGAGCUUGAUACAGAAGAGCACCUCACAGACAUAAAUAAUGGUACAGCAUGUUGCCCUCCAUCGUAGCCUCUGUGCUCGUCUUUGAUUGGCUGAAGUGUCAUGUGAAUAAAUAGGCCAGUCGUAGAUGAGACUGCUUAGUGUGCCAAGAUACAUCCAUCUCCUGGUAACUGUGGAUCCUCGUGAGACGUCUUAGUAAUGAUGACUGAAAUAGUAAAGGCCCAGACCGAUUCGGUGGUGUCCAGUGUGGAGUCCAUGCUGGCGGACGCUGUCCGAAUACAAACACAGUGCAAGGAGCGCAGCGCAGAGCUGGCUGCGGCUGCAGUGGAGCUGCACGAGGAGACCCAGAGCCUGCGGGAACAGUGUGAGGCCACACAGCUGGACAUGGCCCGCCUCCGACGGACACUAGAUGAGCUUCUGGACACAAAACAUGCCUAUGAGGCCCGUGAGAGACAGACCCGAAAACUUAGCAAGCAGCUUUAAAGAAAGAGUACUAUUAAUGGACAUACAGAUUAGAAUCGCCAGAAAGCAAUGUAUGAGAGAGUACAAUGUAAAAAAAGAUAUUUAUAUAAUUUAAGUAUAUAAAUAAAGUUUUACUGAAAGCAAACAAUGCAGUCCUCUAAUAACUGUACAAGCUUUCCUGCACUAUUUAAUGGUGAAUAUUAAAGGAAAAGUUCAUCUAAAUAUUAAAAUCUACUCUCAGGGCAUUUAAGAGGUUUCAUACAAACAUGAUGCAGCAUCUUGCUUUCCAAGAUAUUAAUUGAGGGACAGGAGUUGUGUGGACUACUUGUGAUGUUAUCAGUUUUUUAACUCUUAUUCUGACGGCAC